rnacentral:rRNA from 1 species
CUACGGGGGGCUCCAGUGGGGAAUAUUGGACAAUGGGGGAAACCCUGAUCCAGCAAUGCCGCGUGUGUGAAGAAGGCCUGCGGGUUGUAAAGCACUUUCGGUUGGGAGGACUGCUUCUAGCACUAAUAUUGUUGGAAGUUGACGUUACCUUCAGAAGAAGCACCGGCUAACUCCGUGCCAGCAGCCGCGGUAAUACAGAGGGUGCAAGCGUUAAUCGGAAUUACUGGGCGUAAAGCGCGCGUAGGCGGCUAGAUCAGUCGGGUGUGAAAGCCCCGGGCUUAACCGGGGAACUGCAUCCGAUACUGUCUAGCUGGAGUACAGGAGAGGAGAGUGGAAUUCCACAUGUAGCGGUGAAAUGCGUAGAUAUGUGGAGGAACACCAAUGGCGAAGGCAGCUCUCUGGCCUGAUACUGACGCUGAGGCGCGAAAGCGUGGGGAGCAAACAGGAUUAGAUACCCCCGUAGUC